rnacentral:rRNA from 1 species
UACGUAGGGUGCAAGCGUUGUCCGGAAUUAUUGGGCGUAAAGAGCUCGUAGGCGGCUUGUCACGUCGACUGUGAAAACCCGGGGCUCAACUCCGGGCCUGCAGUCGAUACGGGCUGGCUUGAGUGCGGUAGGGGAGACUGGAAUUCCUGGUGUAGCGGUGAAAUUCGUAGAUAUCAGGAGGAACACCGGUGGCGAAAGCGGCUUCCUGGCCCGACAUUGACGCUCAUGUACGAAAGCGUGGGGAGCAAACAGG